UGACUGGUGUGGUCCUGUGUUAGGAGU
rnacentral:piRNA from 1 species